GAUGAAGAACGUAGCGAAAAGCGAUAAGUAAUGUGAAUUACAGAAUUCAGUGAAUCAUCGAAUCUUUGAACGCACAUUGCGCCCGCCAGUAUUCUGGCGGGCAUGCCUGUCCGAGCGUCAUUUCAACCAUCAAGCCUCGUGCUUGUGUUGGGGACCUGCGUCCGACGCAGGCCCUGAAAACCAGUGGCGGGCUCGCUGUCCACACCGAGCGUAGUAACUAACCUCGCUAUGGAGUGGCGCGGGCGCCUGCCGUAAAACCCCCAAUUUCACAAGGUUGACCUCGGAUCAGGUAGGAAUACCCGCUGAACUUAAGCAUAUCAAUAAGCGGAGGA
rnacentral:misc_RNA from 1 species